GAUGAACGCUGGCGGCGUGCCUAAUACAUGCAAGUCGAGCGAACAGACGAGGAGCUUGCUCCUCUAACGUUAGCGGCGGACGGGUGAGUAACACGUGGAUAACCUACCUAUAAGACUGGGAUAACUUCGGGAAACCGGAGCUAAUACCGGAUAAUAUAUUGAACCGCAUGGUUCAAUAGUGAAAGACGGUUUUGCUGUCACUUAUAGAUGGAUCCGCGCCGCAUUAGCUAGUUGGUAAGGUAACAGCUUACCAAGGCAACGAUGCGUAGCCGACCUGAGAGGGUGAUCGGCCACACUGGAACUGAGACACGGUCCAGACUCCUACGGGAGGCAGCAGUAGGGAAUCUUCCGCAAUGGGCGAAAGCCUGACGGAGCAACGCCGCGUGAGUGAUGAAGGUCUUCGGAUCGUAAAACUCUGUUAUUAGGGAAGAACAAAUGUGUAAGUAUCUAUGCACGUCUUGACGGUACCUAAUCAGAAAGCCACGGCUAACUACGUG
rnacentral:rRNA from 1 species